rnacentral:rRNA from 1 species
AGAGCUCAUAAUUCGUUGAAUGCACCAGUUUCGAUGGAUCACUGAAGUUAAGCAACGUCGCGUGUGGUUGGUAUCAGGUUGAAUUACCAUCUGGGUAAUCGCGUGUCGAAUUUU